ACCAGUCUGCAUUUUGCUCAUCGCAUGUGGGGAUCGACAGACUGUUUCUGCGCGUCUGGACGCUUGUCGCUGUACUGGGCGUGCACGCGUCCACCUGGGUCCCUGAGCAAGUGCCGGAGCCGACGCACACGCCGGCCCGGCUGGUCCUGGCUUGAGCGAGUGGCAAUCAUUCAGCCUUUCCUCAGUCCUCAGGGCAGGCCACUUAUGACUUACUUCAUGACCCAGAACUAACCAUUGCUGCUGUGGGUGGAAAAAUAAUCCGUGAUUGAUUGUCGGACCUUGGACAUAGCGUCCGUCUCGUGACAAUGGAGCGCAACCUGCGUUCUUCUAGCGCGCUCGCGGGCAUCCUGCUGCUGCUUUGCCGCUAUUGUGGACUGGCGGCCGGGUCGUUCUCGCUAGGGAUAGGCUCAUUCAACGUGAAGAACUUCGACUCGGCCAAGUACGACAUGUACAGCGAUAUCUAUAGCGGGAUUGUUGGCUGGCAGAAAAUCUUCCUCUUACAGGAGGUCCUAAACACGAGUAUACCAGAUGCCCUGGUCAACAGCCUCAAUGCGAGAUCCCAGUAUGCCAGUAACAAGCCAUUUCGCUCCAUCACCAGUGAGUUGCUUGGGCCUGACUCUGGAACACGGCAAGCGUAUGCAUUCAUCUACCGGGUUGACUUUGUAAAAGUCCAGCAGGUCUACCAGUACCCCAUCCAGAACUACACCGUGUUUAGACGACCGCCAUUCUCCGUGAAGUUCCAGUCGUCAGUCGUGGGUAGCUUCAUCUGUACUGGUAUGCAUACAUCGCGGCCCGCCAUUCGUGAAUUACAGGCGCUGGACGGCGCGGUGCAGCACAUCCAGCACGUCAUGGGCAGCCACGACAUCCUGAUCAUGGGAGAUCUGAAUGUCGGCUGUGGCUCCAUGCGCCCGGCCGAAUGGUCCACCAUAAGCAUUGGUACCAGCUCCCAGUACAGGUGGUAUGUUAGCAGCACGGUGGAUACUUCACUGUCCGGUGGAUGCUCGGAUGACAGGUUCAUAGCCUCCGCAGCAUUGUCUCUUCGAAUUCCCGAAUCAUCCGUGGAAGUGUACCACUAUCAGGACUUCUACAAGCUCACCCUGGAAGAAGCAGUGAAGAUCAGUACCCACUACCCUAUACAACUGGAGAUCAUUCAGCCUGAGCCAAGUGAAAGCAGACCAGUUCAGAGUACGAUCAGUGAAGCUGCUCUGCUCAAGCUGUACGGCUACGGAGCUGCACUCGGCUGUGGGUACAUCACGACCACCCUGCAAGGUGCUCUGACGGAUGGAAGCGGCCUCGAUGAGAACUACCGAAACGACCUCGACUGCGUCUGGGUGAUACUCGCACCGCUCAAUCACAGCAUUUCUCUGAGAGUAACCUACACGUUUGAAAACUUCUACGAAGAUCGGCUUGAUAUCCGCGAUGGCUACACGCUCACAUUGCGGCUCAUUGCACGGCUGCAGAACAAGGGAAAUCGAACAGUCAACAACACUGGCAACUCACUGCUGCUCAACUUCCGCACGGACAGCAUCGGAACGGGACCCGGAUUUGUCGCCACAUUCACAACUUCACCACAGUGUGACUAUACGCUAACGGACAGAGAAGGCAACUUCUCCAGCCCGCUUAACAGCUAUACUGGGCACUACCCUAAUAACUUGCACUGCACGUGGAACAUACGCGUACCGCUCGGCAUGGUCAUCAAGCUCAGCUUCUCGAAUUUCCAGGUUGAACCUGAUGGUCAGUGUGCUCCGGACUACGUCAAUGUCAUCGACGGCCAGGUGACCAAGGACAUAUUCAGCCUGGCGCCAGCGAAGGUCUCUGCCCUGCAGCUCUCUCAGAACACGCUGCCAAAUACCAUUCACCAGCGCCGCCAAUCAGAUUGGUAUAGGGUUGUCGAGUGAUUACACUAACACCAACAAGGGAUUCACCGUCUUCUAUAAAGCUGUUGGGCAUAGACUUUGAUACCUCGCGUCACAUGGCUGGCUCGACACGCCUCCACUGUCUCAUCCACUACGCCGGCUCGGUGGGUUUGGACGUACAGGAGCAUCUUGUCGAGUAGUAUCCGCAGGCUGCUCAAGAUACACUUCAAGGAUGCACGCAACGUCAAUGACUUGGAUGUCCUGAUGGAGGCAACUGCAGAGCUCCGGAGGUUGGAUUGGAGCUCGAAGCCAGCAAGGCUGCACAUGGAGGAUUCCAAGCUCAAGGAGCAAGUCUGGACAGAGCAUUAGAGGGCGCGCAAAGAGUUCGGCGUCAAGGGACUGCCGUUUUUCGUCAUGUCGCUAAAGGCCGUAAAGGGUCACUCUGACGAGGGGACGCCAAGGUCCUUCAAGCACGAUGAACCAACCGCAUGUCGUGUGGCCUGCCUCGAUGAGCUGCUCGCCAAACACCAGGGCGAUGGUGUCGAGUAAAACAGUCACUGCAUGCUGUAUACCAGCAAUGGCCAUGAAAACAAACCGGCCCAUGGCAGUAGAACUCUAUGAUGCUAUGUGUUAUGUGGAGCAAGAACUUGCCUGAUCUGAACAGUGGGUGUGGCUAUUGCAUAUGUUUUCCUGCCAGCACAGGUAUGGAUUCGCACAUUACAGUGAACGCAUGCAAAGCCCAUGUCACGUCUUGCACACCACUGUUGAGUGUUGUGCCAUGGCUUUGCCUCCAUUUUGUGUGGCAAUGUGUAUACACAAAUAACCUUGUAGGUUCGGGGAUGUCUUCAUAACCCGGAAUUCACAAUUGAACAGUGCACACACACACAAGUACACAAGUUCACACAAUUUUAGCCGAAAAUUUCGCGAAUAACAACACAAUCUCCAGAUCUAGUACCUCGUAACCAUUUCUUAAAAUUAACCUUUUUCUCAUGGAGGAUCCAGGGUCGGUAUUGGCAAGGUUAA